rnacentral:rRNA from 1 species
GCUAGUUGCACGGGUUUAGACCCGUGGCGAAAAGCUCAGUAACACGUGGCCAAGCUACCCUGUGGACCGGAAUAACCUCGGGAAACUGAGGACAAUUCCGGAUAACGCUCCCCUAUUGGAAUAUGGGGAGCCGGAAACGUUCAGGCGCCACAGGAUGCGGCUGCGGCCGAUUAGGUAGACGGUGGGGUAACGGCCCACCGUGCCCAUAGUCGGUACGGGUUGUGAGAGCAAGAGCCCGGAGACGGAAUCUGAGACAAGAUUCCGGGCCCUACGGGGCGCAGCAGGCGCGAAACCUUUACACUGCACGACAGUGCGAUAGGGGGACUCCGAGUGUGAGGGCAUAUAGCCCUCGCUUUUCUGCACCGUAAGGUGGUGCAAGAAUAAGGACUGGGCAAGACCGGUGCCAGCCGCCGCGGUAAUACCGGCAGUCCAAGUGAUGGCCGAUAUUAUUGGGCCUAAAGCGUCCGUAGCUUGCUGUGUAAGUCCAUUGGGAAAUCGACCAGCUCAACUGGUCGACGUCCGGUGGAAACUACACAGCUUGGGGCCGAGAGACUCAACGGGUACGUCC